rnacentral:rRNA from 1 species
UACGUAGGGUGCGAGCGUUAAUCGGAAUUACUGGGCGUAAAGUGUGCGCAGGCGGCCGCGCAAGUCGAGUGUGAAAGCCCCGGGCUUAACUUGGGAAUUGCGCUCGAAACUACGUGGCUGGAGUGUGGCAGAGGAAGGUGGAAUUCCAGGUGUAGCGGUGAAAUGCGUAGAGAUGUGGAGGAACACCGAUGGCGAAGGCAGCCCCCUGGGCUAACACUGACGCUCAUGCACGAAAGCGUGGGGAGCAAACAGG